rnacentral:rRNA from 1 species
AGUGAACGCUGGCGGUAGGCCUAACACAUGCAAGUCGAACGGCAGCACAGUGAGAGCUUGCUCUUACGGGUGGCGAGUGGCGGACGGGUGAGGAAUACAUCGGAAUCUACUUUUUCGUGGGGGAUAACGUAGGGAAACUUACGCUAAUACCGCAUACGACCCACGGGUGAAAGCAGGGGAUCUUCGGACCUUGCGCGAUUGAAUGAGCCGAUGUCGGAUUAGCUAGUUGGCGGGGUAAAGGCCCACCAAGGCGACGAUCCGUAGCUGGUCUGAGAGGAUGAUCAGCCACACUGGAACUGAGACACGGUCCAGACUCCUACGGGAGGCAGCAGUGGGGAAUAUUGGACAAUGGGCGCAAGCCUGAUCCAGCCAUACCGCGUGGGUGAAGAAGGCCUUCGGGUUGUAAAGCCCUUUUGUUGGGAAAGAAAAGCAGCAGGUUAAUACCCCGCUGUUCUGACGGUACCCAAAGAAUAAGCACCGGCUAACUUCGUG